rnacentral:tRNA from 1 species
AUAGCUCAGCUGGGAGAGCGCCUGCCUUGCACGCAGGAGGUCAGGGGUUCGAUCCCCCUU